AACGAACGCUGGCGGCGCGUCUUAAACAUGCAAGUCGAACGAUCUGUAGCAAUACAGGGAGUGGCGGACGGGUGAGGAACACGUAGGAAUCUACCUAGAAGAGCGGGACAACUUUGGGAAACCGGGGCUAAUACCGCAUAGUACAGAGAUGUUAAAGGGCUAGCAAUAGUCGCUUCUAGAUGAGCCUGCGGUCUAUCAGCUUGUUGGUGAGGUAAUGGCUCACCAAGGCAGCGACGGAUAGCCGGUCUGAGAGGAUGAUCGGCCACACUGGCACUGAGACACGGGCCAGACUCCUACGGGAGGCAGCAGUUAAGAAUCUUGCGCAAUGGGGGAAACCCUGACGCAGCGACGCCGCGUGAAGGAUGAAGGCUUUCGGGUUGUAAACUUCGGUAGACUGGGAAGAAGAACUACGUUCGUUGAGGGCGUAGAGUGACGGUACCAGUCUGAAGCCCCGGCUAAUUACGUGCCAGCAGCCGCGGUAAU
rnacentral:rRNA from 1 species